UUCGGGGAACGAUAACGGCGUCGAGCGGCGGACGGGUGAGUAAUGCCUAGGAAAUUGCCCUGAUGUGGGGGAUAACCAUUGGAAACGAUGGCUAAUACCGCAUAAUGCCUACGGGCCAAAGAGGGGGACCUUCGGGCCUCUCGCGUCAGGAUAUGCCUAGGUGGGAUUAGCUAGUUGGUGAGGUAAGGGCUCACCAAGGCGACGAUCCCUAGCUGGUCUGAGAGGAUGAUCAGCCACACUGGAACUGAGACACGGUCCAGACUCCUACGGGAGGCAGCAGUGGGGAAUAUUGCACAAUGGGCGCAAGCCUGAUGCAGCCAUGCCGCGUGUGUGAAGAAGGCCUUCGGGUUGUAAAGCACUUUCAGUCGUGAGGAAGGUAGUGUAGUUAAUAGCUGCAUUAUUUGACGUUAGCGACAGAAGAAGCACCGGCUAACUCCGUGCCAGCAGCCGCGGUAAUACGGAGGGUGCGAGCGUUAAUCGGAAUUACUGGGCGUAAAGC
rnacentral:rRNA from 1 species